rnacentral:rRNA from 1 species
GUAGUCUCGCACAGAUGCAUAUCAAUAAGCGGAGGAAAAGGCUGCGGAACUGAACGACCACUACCUACGCUUAGGAUGUUGAAGAUGUAGCACAUCAUACACGCAUGACACACUGCAUAUCAAUAAGCGGAGGAAAAGAAACUAACAAGGAUUCCCUUAGUAACGGCGAGUGAAGCGGGAAGAGCUCAAAUUUGAAAUCUUGAAAGGUCACCUUUCACGAAUUGUAGUUUAAAGAAGUGUUUUCUGUUACGAUCGUAAUAUAAGUUCUUUGGAAUAGGACAUCACAGAGGGUGAGAAUCCCGUCUAUGAUUGCGAUUUGUAGCUUUGUGAUACACUUUCAAAGAGUCGGGUUGUUUGGGAAUGCAGCCCAAAACGGGAGGUAAAUUUCUUCUAAGGCUAAAUAUUGGCGAGAGACCGAUAGCGAACAAGUACCGUGAGGGAAAGAUGAAAAGAACUUUGAAAAGAGAGUUAAACAGUACGUGAAAUUGUCAAAAGGGAAGCGUUUAACACCAGUGUUGUUUUUCUGAAAAUCAAUUAAAGAACUGUUUAUGCUAAGCUGUUUAGACUUUAUCAGCUAACUGUUUAGUUUUGAGCUUUUCUUUAAUGCACUUUUCAGUUAACAAGUCAACAUCAAUUUCUUUUGCUGUAAAAAAGCUUGAGGAAGGUGGCUUGAGAUUCGUCUUAAGUGUUUAUAGCCUCUUGCCUAUGCAGUCGGAGAGAUUGAGGUCUGCAGCGUAGAUCCUUCGGGGCUAAAUGCAUUUGAGCUAAGUUAUAGCAUUUUAUAGACAACUUGUUGACUAUGAUUUGUCUUGUAGCUUACUCGCUUAUGUUAUUUUACCUACGCUUAGGAUGUUGAGCGCAUGUCUCUCUCU